UACAGAGGGGGCAAGCGUUGUUCGGAAUUACUGGGCGUAAAGGGCGCGUAGGCGGCCUUCUAAGUCGAACGUGAAAUCCCCAGGCUCAACCUGGGAACUGCGUCCGAUACUGGAUGGCUUGAAUCCGGGAGAGGGAUGCAGAAUUCCAGGUGUAGCGGUGAAAUGCGUAGAUAUCUGGAGGAAUACCGGUGGCGAAGGCGGCAUCCUGGACCGGCAUUGACGCUGAGGAGCGAAAGCCAGGGGAGCAAACGGG
rnacentral:rRNA from 1 species